CCAUGUCGAGCGGCGAACAAAUCCAGUAGGUGUUGAGCGUUCGUGCGAUUUCUUCCUGCUUGCCCCGAUUUCAUGUUUUGCUCGGCCGCGCCUCCUCCCUCUGUCCAUGUUUCAAAGUAGCUCAGGCGCGGCGUCUACUCGCUUAAUGUUUUAAAGCAGAAGAUGAGGAUGUAUAGCCCCGCCGAGCAAUCGCCUAUGCCGAAUCAGGUGAUUUUUCUCGGCCCCUCAAGUUUUCUUCCUCAUUCCCUUCUCCCGUUGUUCCUCCUUCCCUUCCCACGGCCGCUCCCAUGGUUGCUCCCCCCCUCUUCCAUCAUGCUUCUUCUCUACCUUCAAUAGCGCUUCUCUGCCUCUCCCGUGCAGCUCCCCCCUGCCCCUCCUAUGUCUGCUGCCCACAUCCUCCCACGGGCGCCUCUCUCCAACCUUCUCAUAGGGCAUCUCUCUCUGCCCCUCCCUUUUCUCUUUUACAUUUGCCGUAGCAUCUCCCCUGUACAGUAGCCUGCUCAUUAAAAAUCUACAUGUCAGAAAUAUCUCAAGGCUCAAGUUCCUUCUUGGCUGCACAUAAUUUGUUUUCUCUUCCCCUUUUAGGUUGUUUUGGAGCUGUAGAUGAAGAUUUGGUAGCAGAUCAGAAAAUUUGCCGGUGAAGGUCACAUAAUAGAUCUUGCUGAUUAUGUAGUUGCAUAAAGAAAUUGACUUGACUCACAGUGUGCUACAUCAUACUAGAUAUUUGGUUCCAUGAACACUUACUUCAUUUUAUAUGAAUGAAUCAGAUUGCCAGUUAGUUUUUACUCACAAUUGAUUGUUGUUGUUUUGCUGAAGAGUUUGUGACAAAAAAGAUAAUUGUUACAGCUGAGAGCAUAGACAAAUCUUAUGUCGUAACAGGUUUGGAGUUACGCUGAGAAUCAAAAUGUCAAGGCUCAAAAAACUAGAUGCUGCCUUCAACUAUGUUCCUUUGUCCAUCUCCUCAAAUACUCUAUAUCAUGUUCCUUUCAGCGGUUAGAUAUUUUUAGUGACAAUAUGUCAGCGGUCGAUCUCAUUGGAGUUUUCCUUUGGUGUGUAGUCAUCUCUUAUACUGGCCAUAAAUUAGUACAUAUA
rnacentral:lncRNA from 1 species